AACUGACUAGUCAGUUUUUUCCCCGGGGGAAAGAAUUGACUUGUCAGUUUUUUCCCCGGAGAAAGAACUGACUGGGGGAAAAACUGGGCUGUUACACCGGCACAAAUUGCUUUCUUUUCUGCUCUUUGAUUUCUUUGCUGCUUCUUUUUUUCUAGAGUAAAACUUAUUUUUCUCACAUUAAAAAUAAAAAUUUGAAAUUUUGCAAAUCGAAAGGAAAAAAUCGUCAUUUAUGACAUACACUGCACUACACUCACAAAAAAGCCAUCACAAAUACUCCGUGCCUGUGGGCACGGUGAAUAACGGGCCGUGCUCGAUACAUAAUUACCUUUAUGAUUCUAGUGUAAACAGUAUCGAUAUACAGACCAAUAAUUUUUGUUAGAACUGUAGAUUUGUCUCAUCAAGUUUAAAUGACUGGGGUGAGGCUAUGAUGAACAUUACCUAUAUGCGGUAUAUAGACAUGUAUAUCUUGAUAUAAUUAACAAAUAAUGAAGGCUUGCGAGUGGUAUCACAGUUGUAAGAUUAAAUACAUAUUACCGAACAAGGUGACCUAUAUAGAAAUAUUAAUGAUCCGCCAGGUAUAAUUUCCAAAAUGAAAAUUUACCCGAGGGGUGGUCUCAAACGCUUUACAUGAUCAUUAAAAUUAUGAUAUAUCU